UUGCCACUGUGGCUACAAGCUUUUGUCCUUAAAGGGCUCAUAUCAUGCAAAAUCCACUUUUUAGACAUUUUGGAGUGUUCCUAUGACUCUAUGGGUCACAUAUACACACACUGAGCACGGUAGAAAUGCAUUUCCUGCUUUUUCACAUUUUGAAAACGUAAAUUUUCUCACCCAAUGAAAACAGACCGCGACCUACUCUGAGGCCGUGUCCCAGUUGUCGUCACCUUGGUCGGAAGUUCUCCCUGCAAAUCCUGAACCACCACCCCCACAAUGAUCCCGAACCAAAACUGGACUUCCGCCAUUUCCCCCCUCUCACUCACCGUGAACAGACGAGCACGGCAGCGCCCAAGUCCUCCCAUAGAAAUAGUUCGGUUCUUAGGUGUUCUAACCAACACCAAAGUCUAUUCACUUUAACAAGGGAUCAACAAGUGAGGAUUUGUGGGUCACUUUUAUUUUUAACGGACCGGUGCCAGAAACACUGCUUCAGCAUUUAUACGUAUGUGCAUUUCAAAUGAGGGUGCGUACAAUGCUGGAUUUGUUUAACGGCUCCUGUUGGAAAAAAAGGAUCUAUUCCUACAGUCCGUCAUCCACUCACUGCAGUAAGUACAUGCUUGAUAUUUAUAAUGUUUUAAAAUGUUAGUAUGUAGUAACCUAUGUGUGGGGCAAGUUACUAGCUAGCUAUGCUAACGGCUACAGCCAGUCGACCGAGCCUUUGUCCCCUUCAAAUGUGCUCAUGUGGGCUCCUGCAGCCACACACCUGAGUGGAGAAAAGCUAAUGGCUAACGGCAUCGAGCGGCUACAGGCAGGGAGCGGUGGGUCUAGCGUCUGUCCUUUUUCUGUAAUCACAUACACCUGCGGGGAACAGCUGAUUGUUAUCGCCCUUCCAGCGGCGACAGACAGGAAGCAGUGGAUCUAGCUCGCUGUAGUAAGUUUGUGCUUGAUACUUGUGAUAUCUAAAUAUGUUGGCUAAUCGCUAGCGUCGCUAACGGCUACAGUGAGUCAACCGAGCCUUUGUCCCUUUCAAAUGUGCUACUCUGAGUUGGUGCAAUCACACACCUGUGUGGGGAACAGCUAAUAGCGAUGGGCCUUCGAUCGGCGACAGGCAGGAAGCGGUGGAUCGAGCUUUUGUCCUGUUGACGUGCUGCCGCUCCUGUUUGUGUUGCGUUAGCCGUUAGCAUGUCUUUAGGCCUUUGCACUUUAGAGCGACAGCUGGUCGAUCGCUACAAAAAGAACCUGCAGAUGAACGCGGUUAUGUUUGUUAUUACCCCGUCCUGUGUCAGAGCCUAAAUCAACUUGUGAUUUGGGGUUAUGUCAUUGUUCUAUCAAAUUCUAACAUGAUUAGUUGGAAUGAUUACUGUGUUGUGUUGCAAGCUUAGUUGCUAAUUAGUCACAUCUCUACAAUAACUGCUGCUUAUCUGGUCAGUAACCUACAGCUUGUACCAUAGCCAUUAUAUUUGUAGGAACAAUACAAUUUACAGUAAAUGUAACAGUCUUUUCUAUACUGUAGGGAGCCAAAUCCCAGUUACCUACAUGCAAGGAGGCUGUGAAACAGAAAUCACUGCAGACUGUUGGUACACGGACAUCUGCUGCCCAGCUCAGGAGUAAAGUACCUUUUUGUUUUGAUGAGGUGAUGGUGAGGACAGCCACAGCUUCCAUCUGGUAGAGGACUGCUUCCGCUCAGUCUUCCAAAUAGUGAUGAGAACAAGGAUCACCACAUCUCCCUGUUUACCCUACUUUCAUGCAUUUCGUCUGCAAGGCCCUGCAAAAGCUUGUCCUCAAACCCCCAGACUUCUUAAUUAACUCAGUAACCUAUACAUUGCACAUUGGAGUGUGAAGGUAACAGUUUGUUCUAGCUUUGGAGUAGUGGUGCAUUUUUUUGGUUUACAAUAAAGUUGGCUUUAACUAUUA